CCCUGGCUUCCCUCCAAGGCCUCCGCCCUUUCUCAGGAUUCUUCGCAGGUUCAUCUUCAUCCAUGGCCUUGCCGGGACCCUCCGAGCCACUCCUGGGCCUUCUUUCUACUCGUACUCCUCCAGGCUGGCUCCCAGCCUCCUUGCACCUCACCGUCUGUGCCUGUGACAGAUCCUCAGCAUUUCCAAGGCCCCCGGCAUGA
rnacentral:lncRNA from 13 species